rnacentral:rRNA from 1 species
CACGACGUUGUAAAACGACGGCUGUAACUAUAACGGUCCUAAGGUAGCAAAUUUCCUUGUCGUCCUAAUAACGACCUGCAUGAAACAUAGAACGAUUCGAUAGCUGUCUUGCACACACAUCAUGGUAAAAUAUUCAUCAGUACAAAUAAUAUGCUGCCGAAGUCGAGUGACACUAAAGGACAAAAAGACCCUCUGAAGCUUUAUAGGGAUAAAACUUGGAUUGCAUCGCGAUCUAAAUUAUCUUAUUGCAUCGCAGCUAAAGUGAAUAGAUUUCUGAUUUCUCCUAAGACCACUGUUUAAUUGGGGCGAUAACCUUAUCCACAGCCACCUAAGGUGAACAAAGCGAUACAAGGAUCCUAAAUACUAAUUUGACCAACUAAUAAGUGCAAAGAUACAUGUUUCGCUUAAUGGCCCAACAAGUCCUUCCCAGUACUUAAAUGCUAUCUUAAUGAGCUUUAAAUUAAUCUACCCGAGUGAAGCUACUCUACGGAUAACAGGCUUAAUUUCCGCAAUACUCAAGGUCACAUUAUCAAGAAAAAUGCACCUCGAUGUCGGCUUAUCCUCCCAAAAUAAGUAGCGCCAAUUAUUGGUGGGAGUGCUCAUCCCGUAAA